rnacentral:lncRNA from 1 species
ACACUUUUUUUUUUUAUGCACCGUUUUCAGAGCGGUCAUCAAAAUGAUGAAAGAUCACAGUCACUUGAUGGAGGUGGACUCCAUUUUGAUUCGAUCCUGCUUGUAUCUGAUGUCAUUUGAUAAGCUGAUGGAGUACACAAAGGAAAUGAACCCAGAGCUUCUGGACAUUCUUCUUGUUGUCACACAUAAAGUUCCUCCGGAGAUCUCUGCCAGCAGUUUUGAAGUGAGUUCAUCUUGAAUACACAUUUAAGACUAUGAUUGCAAUUGUAUUAUUGAUCACAUUGCAAAAUGUAUCUGUGCUUUUGAGUGUAGUAACGCCGUUUCUGUCUGUCUUAUUUUCUUUUUAGGCAGCGACAGAAAUCCUUAGUCAUAUUCAACAAAAUCUCAUUGAGGAAAAAUACAGUUACUUCACAGAGACAUACAGAAGGCAGUGUCUGGGGACGGCAGUGAAACUGUUGGAGAAGAUCUGCAAAGGGGUCAAGCUGGGAUCAUCUCUCAACGACUUUCCUGAUGUUCCUCUGGCAUGCAUGAAUCUAGUGGCCUCAGUGUCUGAUUUUCUGCUGUGUAACAAGCUGGAGGCUCAAGAAAAUGAUCCAGGGAUCCAAAAUUUUACAAAAGACUUGAUCAAUCAGGCCAUGGACUUGAUGAGAACUUGGAUGAGCCAGUCUUUCAAACCAAGUUUUCACAGAAGGAUUUUUUUGUACUUUUUUCAAGAGAAGAAAGCUGACUUUGAAGUGAGCUAUUUGCCUUUACAUAUGAAAAACAAACAAAUCCUGCUACCUAAAGUAUUUGAAAAUAAUAUUGUUUUUAAUCAUACAAUAUGUGUUCACAGUUGUGGAAUAACGUGA